rnacentral:rRNA from 1 species
UACGAAGGGGGCUAGCGUUGCUCGGAAUUAUUGGGCGUAAAGAGCUCGUAGGCGGUUUGUUGCGUCGGCUGUGAAAUCCCGAGGCUCAACCUCGGGUCUGCAGUCGAUACGAGCAAACUAGAGUGUUGCAGGGGAGACUGGAAUUCCUGGUGUAGCGGUGAAAUGCGCAGAUAUCAGGAGGAACACCGGUGGCGAAGGCGGGUCUCUGGGCAACAACUGACGCUGAGACGCGAAAGCGUGGGGAGCGAACAGG